rnacentral:RNase_P_RNA from 1 species
GGCGCUGGAAGAGACGAUCGCUCCGCCUUGCGGCGGAGAGGAAAGUCCGGACGCCACCAGGGAAGCGGGCCGUGGGAAACCGCGGGACCGAGAGGGCGUAAGCCGCUCGGGACGGAAAGUGUCACAGAGAAUAGACCGCCGCGCCGGAGAGGCGCGGCAAGGGUGAAACGGCGGGGUAAGAGCCCACCGCUCGAGCCGGAGACGGCCGAGGCACGAUAAACCCCCCGCGGCGCAAGGCCAAACAGAGGUGCUGGCUCCCUGGCCGCUCCGACGCUCAGGCGUCACGGCGCCGAGCGUUUGGGCACACCUCGGGUCAGGCCGCACCGCGGCGGCUUGCCGUCGCGGACCGAUCGCCGCAAUGCGAUCGGUAGAGAAAUGAUCGUCGCCUGGAAGGGCUGCUUUCCAGGAACAGAAUCCGGCUUAUCUUCCGGCGCCGCUU